UGAUAACUGUCGAAAGUAGUAGUGCUACAUAUGGAAGUGAUUCAGAUGAGAAGAAAAAAUAUAUACAUGUUUCGAAAGCUGUGAUAAACGCUUUGGCAAAUAUUGCUGCAAAUAUAAGAGGCGAAGUGCAUACAAAUGAAUUAUUGGUUCGACUUUUAGAAUUGUUUGUUCAAUUGGGACUUGAAGGGAAAAGAGCUAGUGAAAAAUCUCCAGGUGUUAAAGCAUCUAGUUCUGCAGGGAAUUUGGGUGUCCUUAUCCCUGUAAUUGCUGUUCUUUUAAAAAGACUCCCUCCAAUUCGAAAUCCUAAGCCUCGACUACAUAAACUUUUCAGAGAUUUCUGGCUCUAUUGUGUUGUUAUGGGGUUUACAGCAUCAAA